UUUAGCCAGAGCCAUAUCUCCCUGCAGUUCUCACCUGGUUUCCCCACUGAAUGAGGGUUGAGCUUGGCCAGUACCUGGAUGGGAGACCUCCUGGGGAAAACUAAGGUUGCUGCUGAAA
rnacentral:rRNA from 1 species